rnacentral:rRNA from 1 species
GAUGAACGCUAGCUACAGGCUUAACACAUGCAAGUCGCGGGGCAGCAUGGGGGUUGCUUGCAAUCCCCGAUGGCGACCGGCGCACGGGUGAGUAACGCGUAUCCAACCUGCCCUUCACCACGGGAUAACCCGGCGAAAGUCGGACUAAUACCGUAUGUUGUCCAUUGACGGCAUCCGAUUUGGACGAAAGGUUUGGCGGUGAAGGAUGGGGAUGCGUCCGAUUAGCUGGACGGCGGGGUGACGGCCCACCGUGGCGACGAUCGGUAGGGGUUCUGAGAGGAAGGUCCCCCACACUGGAACUGAGACACGGUCCAGACUCCUACGGGAGGCAGCAGUGAGGAAUAUUGGUCAGUGGGCGUAAGCCUGAACCAGCCAAGUAGCGUGCAGGAUGACGGCCCUAUGGGUUGUAAACUGCUUUUAUGCGGGGAUAAAGUGGCCCACGUGUGGGUUUUUGCAGGUACCGCAUGAAUAAGGACCGGCUAAUUCCGUG